rnacentral:rRNA from 1 species
UACGUAGGUGGCAAGCGUUAUCCGGAUUUAUUGGGCGUAAAGGGAACGCAGGCGGUCUUUUAAGUCUGAUGUGAAAGCCUUCGGCUUAACCGGAGAACUGCAUUUGAAACUGUUGAUCUUGAGUACUGGAGAGGCAGACGGAAUUCCUAGUGUAGCGGUGAAAUGCGUAGAUAUUAGGAGGAACACCAGUGGCGAAGGCGGUCUGCUGGACAGCAACUGACGGUGAGGCGCGAAAGCGUGGGGAGCAAACAGG